GGGUUAUAGAAGAAGAGAUGGCCACAAUGUGUAAAGAAAGGAAAAAAAAAACCUGAAAUCAGAAUUUGAAUUCAUUCAUUCUGAUACCGACUUUUGAAAAUAUCAGCCAACUUUUACUUUGUCCAUCCUUGAAUCUUGAAGAAGGAUUUUCCUGGGCUGCGUCUUCAGUGCUCCAAAGGCUAACAGAGCAGAAAGAAGGUCUUUCAACUUCUUGGUACCAGUUUUAAAGGGAUAACAUGGCCCUGACUCUCAGGUAUCUACUUAAUUUUUAUAACUGCAUUUCUUCCCAAUUAUAGUCCUAAGAAUCUGAUGCUGAAU
rnacentral:lncRNA from 1 species